rnacentral:rRNA from 1 species
CCUACGGGUGGCAGCAGUGAGGAAUAUUGGUCAAUGGACGAGAGUCUGAACCAGCCAAGUAGCGUGAAGGAUGACUGCCCUACGGGUUGUAAACUUCUUUUAUAAAGGAAUAAAGUGAGGCACGCGUGCCUGUUUGUAUGUACUUUAUGAAUAAGGAUCGGCUAACUCCGUGCCAGCAGCCGCGGUAAUACGGAGGAUGCGAGCGUUAUCCGGAUUUAUUGGGUUUAAAGGGAGCGUAGAUGGGUUGUUAAGUCAGUUGUGAAAGUUUGCGGCUCAACCGUGAAAUUGCCAUUGAUACUGGCAGUCUUGAGUACAGUUGAGGUAGGCGGAAUUCGUGGUGUAGCGGUGAAAUGCUUAGAUAUCACAAAGAACACCGAUUGCGAAGGCAGCUUACUAAGCUGCCACUGACAUUGAUGCUCGAAAGUGUGGGUAUCAAACAGGAUUAGAUACCCGAGUAGUC